rnacentral:lncRNA from 1 species
AUGCAUGAACUCCAUGUACUGGGAUUCAAAGACCCCUUUCAACAAACUCAAAAUAAACAGCAACAUCUUAUUUUAAAUGUGAUGCCACAAAAAAAGAAGAAAUACUUUUUGAGAGGAAUGAAAGCAAGAGGCUGUCUGCCAAGAACACUGCUGUCAUCAUCAUAGCAUGGAGAAAGACCCCUAGGCCAAAUCUUAUACCUACGUCUUAUACCUACAUGGGGGAAGAUAGGAAAGGAAAGGACAGAAGAGCAUCACAUCCCAUUUUGGCACUUCAGGUAACCAAGCCAACAUAAUUUUUACUUGAA